rnacentral:rRNA from 1 species
UGUGGCAGCGAUAGCAAGAAGGACACACCUGUUCCCAUGCCGAACACAGAAGUUAAGCUUCUUCACGCCGAAUGUAGUUGGGGGUUUCUCCCUGCGAGACUAGGAAGUUGCCAUGC